rnacentral:misc_RNA from 1 species
CUUGGUCAUUUUACGACGGCGAACGCGAUGCCGUCGUAGCCUUUGACACCCACGGUUUGCAGGAUUGUGGCGAUGACAUCGGUGCGCGUUCCGAGCAUUGCAUUGAACCUGCGCGCCCCCUGAACGCGGUCAUCAUCGCCGGUUUCCUCCAGGAUUGCUCCCUCACGGACAACGUUGUCGGCGAUGAUCAGGCUGCCAGGCCGGGAGAGGCGGACCGCCCAGUCGAAGUAUUCGACGUACGGCUGUUUAUCG